UACGUAGGGUGCAAGCGUUGCCCGGAUUUAUUGGGCGUAAAGAGCUCGUAGGCGGCCAGUUGCGUCUGCUGUGAAAUCCCGGGGCUCAACCCCGGGCGUGCAGUGGAUACGGGCUGGCUAGAGGCAGGCAGGGGAGAACGGAAUUCCCGGUGUAGCGGUGAAAUGCGCAGAUAUCGGGAGGAACACCGGUGGCGAAGGCGGUUCUCUGGGCCUGUACUGACGCUGAGGAGCGAAAGCGUGGGGAGCGAACAGG
rnacentral:rRNA from 1 species